AUGAACGCUGGCGGCGUGCCUAAUCCAUGCAAGUCGAGCGAACAGACGAGGAGCUUGCUCCUCUGACGUUAGCGGCGGCCGGGUGAGUAACACGUGGAUAACCUACCUAUAAGACUGGGAUAACUUCGGGAAACCGGAGCUAAUACCGGAUAAUAUAUUUAACCGCAUGGUUCAAUAGUGAAAGACGGUUUUGCUGUCACUUAUAGAUGGAUCCGCGCCGCAUUAGCUAGUUGGUAAGGUAACGGCUUACCAAGGCAACGAUGCGUAGCCGACCUGAGAGGGUGAUCGGCCACACUGGAACUGAGACACGGUCCAGACUCCUACGGGAGGCAGCAGUAGGGAAUCUUCCGCAAUGGGCGAAAGCCUGACGGAGCAACGCCGCGUGAGUGAUGAAGGUCUUCGGAUCGUAAAACUCUGUUAUUAGGGAAGAACAAAUGUGUAAGUAACUAUGCACGUCUUGACGGUACCUAAUCAGAAAGCCACGGCUAACUACGUG
rnacentral:rRNA from 1 species